CGACAAAGGGCCGCUUCGAUGGCGCAUUGGCUGUAGUAGAUGGGUAUGUGUUACCAAAGUCUCCACUUGAAGCAUUUGCUGAAGGGGAAGGAGUCGACGUCCCAGUAUUAAUAGGCACAACAGCACAAGAGGUCGACAUUGAGCAUCCAUCUGCAAACUGGACGUGGGGUGAUAACAAUUACCGAGAGCACGUCAGAGACAAGCUAAAUCCUUUCGGCACUGUGAUUGCAGAGACCGCCCUUCAGUUAUACCCUGCGAACAAGUCAACGCCAGAAUUCCAGAUAACUUCUAUGAUAUCAGA